GCCUGCGUGGCCAAACGGCAAGGCGUCGCUUUCCUAAGGCGAAGAUUGUGGGUUCGAUCCCCACCGUAGGUU